rfam:Gossypium arboreum cultivar AKA8401 contig_114489_1, whole genome shotgun sequence.
UGUUUAAAAUUUCAUUCAUUUGUAUUGUUAAAAACUCGGUAAUUGAUAGAAUAAUCAAACGGAGACAUUUGGCAUGCAACGUAUACCUAUUGACAUAUAGAGAUAAGUUUUUAACAACAAAAAUAGAUGAAAUUUUUAACA